GAUGAACGCUGGCGGCGUGCCUAAUACAUGCAAGUCGAGCGAACAGACGAGGAGCUUGCUCCUCUGACGUUAGCGGCGGACGGGUGAGUAACACGUGGAUAACCUACCUAUAAGACUGGGAUAACUUCGGGAAACCGGAGCUAAUACCGGAUAAUAUAUGGAACCGCAUGGUGCAAUAGUGAAAGACGGGUUUGCUGUCACUUAUAGAUGGAUCCGCGCCGCAUUAGCUAGUUGGUAAGGUAACGGCUUACCAAGGCAACGAUGCGUAGCCGACCUGAGAGGGUGAUCGGCCACACUGGAGCUUAGCCACGGUCCAGACUCCUACGGGAGGCAGCAGUAGGGAAUCUUCCGCAAUGGGCGAAAGCUUGACGGAGCAGCGCCGCGUGAGUGAUGACGGUCUUCGGAUCGUAAAACUCUGUUAUUAGGGAAGAACAAAUGUGUAAGUAACUAUGCACGUCUUGACGGUACCUAAUCAGAAAGCCCCGGCUAACUACGUG
rnacentral:rRNA from 1 species